ACGAAGGGGGCUAGCGUUGUUCGGAAUUACUGGGCGUAAAGCGCACGUAGGCGGACUUGUCAGUCAGGGGUGAAAUCCCGAGGCUUAACCUCGGAACUGCCUUUGAUACUGCAAGUCUUGAGGAUGAGAGAGGUAAGUGGAACUGCGAGUGUAGAGGUGAAAUUCGUAGAUAUUCGCAGGAACACCAGUGGCGAAGGCGGCUUACUGGCUCAUUUCUGACGCUGAGGUGCGAAAGCGUGGGGAGCAAACAGGA
rnacentral:rRNA from 1 species